CGAACGGGUGAGUAACGCGUGGAUUAUCUGCCCGUGAGGUGGGGGAUAACCCGGGGAAAACUCGGGCUAAUACCGCAUAUGACCGUGAGGUCAAAGGGGGGUCGGCAAGAUCUCUCGCCAUAGGAGGAGUCCGCGUCCGAUUAGCUAGUUGGUAGGGUAAUGGCCUACCAUGGCGACGAUCGGUAGCUGGUCUGAGAGGAUGACCAGUCACACUGGGACUGAGACACGGCCCAG
rnacentral:rRNA from 1 species